rnacentral:rRNA from 1 species
UACGUAGGGUGCGAGCGUUAAUCGGAAUUACUGGGCGUAAAGCGUGCGCAGGCGGCUUUGCAAGACAGAUGUGAAAUCCCCGGGCUCAACCUGGGAACUGCAUCCAAAACUGCUGAGCUAGAGUACGGCAGAGGGGGAUGGAAUUCCGCGUGUAGCAGUGAAAUGCGUAGAUAUGCGGAGGAACACCAAUGGCGAAGGCAAUCCCCUGGGCCUGUACUGACGCUCAUGCACGAAAGCGUGGGGAGCAAACAGG